UACAUAGGUGGCGAACGUUAUCCGGAUUCACUGGGUUUAAAGGGUGCGUAGGCGGGCAGGUAAGUCAGUGGUGAAAUCUCCGGGCUUAACCCGGAAACUGCCGUUGAUACUAUCUGUCUUGAAUAUCGUGGAGGUAAGCGGAAUAUGUCAUGUAGCGGUGAAAUGCUUAGAUAUGACAUAGAACACCCAUUGCGAAGGCAGCUUACUACACGAUCAUUGACGCUGAGGCACGAAAGCGUGGGGAGCAAACAGG
rnacentral:rRNA from 1 species